rnacentral:rRNA from 1 species
UGCGUAGGCGGUUAGGUAAGUCAGAUGUGAAAUUCCAGGGCUCAACCUUGGAACUGCAUUUGAUACUGCUUGACUAGAGUACUGGAGGGGAGACUGAAAUUCACGGUGUAGCAGUGAAAUGCGUAGAUAUCGUGAGGAAGGCCAGCGGCGAAGGCGAGUCUCUGGACAGUUACUGACGCUGAGGCACGAAGGCUAGGGGAGCAAACG